UGUGCAGAAAAUCCACAGAACUCGUGAGCAACUCCUUAGUGGAUUGGGCUGAAAGAAAAUCAAACCCGUGAAAGCCCUGAAUUGAUGUGGUUAUGAAAGCGCAUUGGCCAAGCUGGCUUUCCUUCCUCUGACCCCCAUCUAACUAUGGUGAACGCCCUCGUUCCCACAGGUCUAAGAAAGUCAAGGACUUGAUAUUUACCAUUCAUUGGCUCUACACAAAUGGGGAUCUGCACUCAGAAGCCACAGAAAAAGAAGAAAAUGCAGUUCACCACCUCCCAGCAGUCCUGGUGGUGUAGGAGGAUGCGCCGAGGCCAAUCUUUGAUGGCUGCUGGUUACUUCCUCAUGAGCAGUGUUAGGCUGGGGACAGCAGGCCGGAAAGGAGUGCUUGGAGAGUGUCUUGACCUUCACAGAUGUCUUGCAAAAGGAAGUCAGUAUAUUGCGUAUCUCUGAAGAUGAGAAUUUUGGUGAAGUUUCUGAAAGGUCACAGAGCUUCCGAAUGCCCAACAGUUUGUCCAGUAUUACACACUCUUCUGCCUCUCUUGCUUGUAUCCCCUUUCUUCUCUCUAACCCCUGCAGUUUGCUCCUCCCCCCAUAUUGCUUCUCUUUCUUUCUCUCCUUUUUAGUGAUCGAAUGGCACACAUCUGUGAAUAGACAGCCACAUCUCUGCUGCCAGAAUACAGCUGCUGAGGUGUUUGGGGCUUACUUGGAGAAAUGAGGACAUUGAUCUGGGUGAAUGGUAGUAGCUGUACACAUACAAAGUACUGUUCACUUCUUUGCUAAGGUUUUAUGUACACUCUGAGGAUAUCAGAGAAUUCGGAGAAAAUCCAUGGCACAGAUUGGAUGCAUAAUACAUGUACGUACUUGA
ensembl:lncRNA novel transcript